rnacentral:rRNA from 1 species
UACGUAGGGUGCGAGCGUUGUCCGGAAUUAUUGGGCGUAAAGAGCUCGUAGGCGGUUUGUCGCGUCUGCUGUGAAAACCUAAGGCUCAACCUUGGGCUUGCAGUGGGUACGGGCAGACUAGAGUGCGGUAGGGGUGACUGGAAUUCCUGGUGUAGCGGUGGAAUGCGCAGAUAUCAGGAGGAACACCGAUGGCGAAGGCAGGUUACUGGGCCGCAACUGACGCUGAGGAGCGAAAGCAUGGGGAGCGAACAGG